rnacentral:lncRNA from 1 species
AGGUGGGGGUGACUGUGAGAGGAAGAUAGGCACAAGAGUUUAGAGCUGGGCAAAUAAAUCCGAUUGCUUACCUGUUACGUCUGAUCUGGUUGUUUGAAGAACUGAGAUAAAAGCCCAACUCUUCAUGACCCGUGUCAUCUGGAGCUCAGCAGCUGCCACCGACAGUCAAGCACAUAGUCUUGGCCUGAGUUCACCACAGGAGGUUCGAGUGUUUGCUUGAGGACUGCUCAGGAUGGAGACCUUUGGAAAGACACCAGCCAGAUGUCCAGGCGUGCUCAGAGGGGUGGACAGCUGCUGCCUUGUUAUCCUGUGAUGUGAAGUGGCAUUCCAGACCCUUGGAGCUCAGUAGUCAGGGCACAGUCAUUCAGAUAUGGUGUUCAGCCAGCAGAGACGGGGCAGGGUCACAGAGAGGACCUGGGGUAGCAGCACCUGGGGUAGCUCCAGUGUAGCUAAACACUUGAGGAUUUCUAGCAAAGGGUUUAGAAAUUCUUCCUUUCCUCCCUGGCUCUUUGUUAAUGUGCUAUAUAAAUCCAUGCCCAAGAAGGAAUGGAAAGAAGGAGCUGGUAUGGAAAGAUGCCUGGCAGCCAUUCUCCUCUGUGGCCCUUCACCUUCUGUAACUC